UGGGGAAUAUUGCGCAAUGGACGAAAGUCUGACGCAGCGACGCCGCGUGAGGGAAGAAGGCCUUCGGGUCGUAAACCUCUGUCAGGAGGGAAGAACCCCUUGGAUUCGAAUAGGGUCCUUGGCUGACGGUACCUCCAAAGGAAGCACCGGCUAACUCCGUGCCAGCAGCCGCGGUAAUACGGAGGGUGCGAGCGUUAGUCGGAAUCACUGGGCGUACAGCGCGCGUAGGCGGCUUGGCAAGUCAGGCGUGAACGCCCUCGGCCUAACCGGGGAACGGCGUUUGAAACUGC
rnacentral:rRNA from 1 species